ensembl:lncRNA
CCAAUAUCUGUUACACAUUUUGGUCUUUAUUUACACUUUCAGGUUUUCACACCAGAGAAACAAUGUGUGUCCAAUUUAUUUCACUUAAGAGUAUGGUCCCAAGGUCCAUCCAUUUAACUAUAAGUGUGUGAAGCGCAUCCUUCUUUAUGGCAGAGUAGUACUCCAUUGUAUAAAAAAAUCCCACAUCUUCUUUAUCUGUUCAUCAGUUGAUGGACAUUUGGGCUGUUUCCAAGCUUUAGCUAUUACAAACUGUGCCGCUAUAAACAUGGUGUGCAUAUAUCGCUGUGGUAGGAUGCUUUUAAUUCUUUCAUUCCCAGUGAUUAUUAAAGGUCAACUCAAUUAAUUCUCUUUGAAUCUUGGUAGUUCACUGGAAUGAAGUAACUGGCAUUACAUAGAUGAAUCUUGGGAACAGGGGCUGAGCUACAUGGUCCAUUUCCAUUAUCAUGGGGUUCUUCCUCUUCCCCUUCCCCUUCCUUCCCUUGGCCUCCUGCACAAUUCAGUGCCAAACCCCUCAGGUGGCUCAGGGCAGGGUGCUAGACCCCAAGCAGGGUGAGGAAGGCGUCACAACAGAGGAACCGCCCGGCACUGGUGUCCAAAUCUGCGUGAAGCGGGCAGAUGGACCUGGGUGGAACCCAGUAGAACCCGGGUGAUUGAGGGUGUGCCGAGUGGUGGGUACAUUGUGAAGGAUGCUGGAGCACAGACACUGGAGUGGAGUGUGUCCAUGUAGGGAGGGAUGCUGGUAGAGAUGGGAGAUGGGUUAUACGCAGGGGGCUGAUAAAAUGAUAAAUCUAUUAAGGGUAACUGGCCCCAGGUUUAAAACUGUCAGGGAAAGGAGUUACAGGUAGACAAUGAGUGAAUGAGCCCUGAGGGAUGGAACUAGAACGAGAGACGUCAGUGUGGAUCGCUGACCUUCAUGUGUGUACACAGAUGCUAACGAGGGAACUACAGAGGGGCAGGUGUGUGUGCCUGCAUGCAUCCCCUAACUCGGUCCGCCACCGGGAGGGUCUGUGACCAGUGAUGCCCACAGGCACGUCCAGCCCCGGACCCUAGCUUCCCUCUGCUGUUCUCUAAUGAAAGGGACCAGAGUUGCUGAGAGAAGCAGCUGUUUCCAGGUGAGAGCAAAGGAAGCACGAGGUGAGCCUGGGAUGUCUGCACCCGCCUGAACACAAGGAGCUGUCCCAGCAGUGAUGGGGACGCGUCCAGAGGGCGCCAAACAGUGUGAAGGAGCUCCCUUUGGCCCACUCGGAAACACUCUGAGCAUCAAAAGGAAAUGGGGGUAAUAACGUUGCAACCCGUUAAGUAAAAAGAUGCUGGCCUGCACCUAUUUAUGAGGAGGCAUUGGGGUGACCUGGACUGACAGACAUUCUACAAAACAGGCCCCCUGUAACCUUCCAAAAUGUCAGGAUCAUGAAAAUCAAAGAAAAGUUUGAAGAACUGUUCCCCACCGGCAGGGGCCACAGGGAUCACUAUAAGCAACACGAGGUCCCCAACUGGAUCCUUCGCUGUGAAAGACAAUAUGGAGACAUCUGUGGCGACCAUUAGGUGUGUCACUGAAAUUCUCAUCAGCUGAAUUUCUUACUCCUUUUUAAAAAUCUGAAGUAUGAGAUAAGAGGCCACGUCUAACCACUUCGCUUGAAAAUUCUGCCUAAAAACUUGGUCACAGAGGAAGAUGCUGCCUGACUUUAUGAAAUAGUCUAGUUCUCCCUGGAAGGAGGUGGAAAGCUACUUUACAGAAAAGCUAUUUCCCUGAGACACGGACCUUCAGUAACUCUCUGACAGUGAGCUUGGUGUGCUCACCUCGUUCUGUGAAGGUGCCUUGAGCAGGGAUCACAAGCUUCCAGGCAGGUGUGAGCUCACUGGCACCCUCCCUGCACUUCAGGGCUCCUCACAUGGAGGCCACCUUUGAUGCUGAUGCCAGCCGCACCCGUGACAUCUCUGUUGUGGACAAGAGAACAGGAAAGGGGAAGAAGACUGCUGUCGCAGAGACAAGGGCCACUUGGACAAGGAAGACAGUGAGCGUGCGGCUGGGGAAGCUGGAAGGCUUGGAGCCAGAGAUGAGGAGUAGAGGAGCAGGCAUCGAGCAGGAAUUGCUUAAGUCAUAUUCAUUCAACACGAAGCCAAUAACGGAAGAUGAGAAACUUCAACGCAAGAGCAGCAAUGAGGAAAAACAGUCAAUUUUCAGAUUUUUACGGAUAAUAUUGUUCUACUACAUGCAACAUAUUGUUCUGACUGUACAAGCGCUAGGACCCAAAUUCCAUCCCCAGUACCAGAAAAACAAAACAAAACAUAUCGUUCUGAAAUACACCUACAUUGUGAAAUGCCACAUCUAGUUAACUAACAUUUGAUUACCUCGUGUGGUUGAUCAUUUGUCAUCUCCUCUCUUGGCAUUCUUCAAGAAUGUAAUAUGAAAUAUUUAAAAAACCAAUAGGAAAUAGGGGGAAUGAAAAGAAUUAAGAUAUGGGCCGGGGAUUUAGCUCAGUGGUUUCGCCGCCUGCUGUGCAAGCGCAAGGACCUGAGUUCAAUCCCCAGUACCAAAAAAAAAAAAAAGGAAAAGAAUUAAGACGUGUUAUGUAUAUGUACCAACUCUCCAAGAAUAAAUGCUGCCUACAUGAUACUCACUUAGUACUCACUUGGUACAGUCCUUGCCAGGCGUGCACAAAGCUUUGGAUUUGGAAUCCAGUUCCACAAAAAC